UAAAGUUUGAUUUUGGCUUUUAUUUUACUACUACUUUGUUUUACAUGUAAAUUUUUGUGUGAAUUUAUAUAUAUUUUAAUAAUAUAAUUUGUUUUAUUCUCAGUAUUUGGUAUUAAAUUUAAAGGUUAUUUUGAUUUGGUAAAAGUUUAAGUUCAGAAGAAUUUUGUGCCAGCAUUUGCGGUUAUACAAAUUGGGCUAGUAAAAGUUCUUGGUUAAUAGAAAAUUUUAUUUUGGUGGGGUUAAUUAAUUAAUUUAUAGGUGAAAUUUUAAAUUUUUAAUAAUUUUUUAUCUAUUUAAAUGAAUCUAUGAAACUUUUUAUUUCAAACUAGGAUUAGAUACCCUAUUAUAAUAAGUGUGGACAUUAAACCUGGGUAGUAAUAGAUAUGAUCUUGAAACCUAAAAAAUUUGGCGGUGCUUUAAUCUAUUUAGAGGAACCUGUUCCGUGAUCGAUAGCCCACGAUAAAUUUUACUUGAUUUUGUUCAGCUUGUAUACCGUUGUUGUCAGAAUAUUUCAUAAGAAUAAAAUGUUCUAAUUUUUUUAUAAAAAUUUAUUUCAGAUCAAGGUGUAGUGUAUAAUUAAGAGGAAAUGGGUUACAAUAAAUUUAUUUACAUGGAAAUAAAAUUGAAUGAUUUUAUUAAAGGUGGAUUUAAUAGUAAAAUAUAAAUAUAUAUUUUGUUUGAUAAAAGCUCUAGAGCAUGCACAUAUCGCCCGUCGCUCUUUUUAAUUAAAGAUAAGUCGUAACAAAGUAGAUGUACUGGAAAGUGUAUCUAGAAUG
rnacentral:ncRNA from 1 species